rnacentral:rRNA from 1 species
GACGAACGCUGGCGGCGUGCUUAACACAUGCAAGUCGAGCGGUAAGGCCCUUUCGGGGGUACGACGAGCGGCGAACGGGUGAGUAACACGUGGGUGACCUGCCCUCAGCUCUGGGAUAAGCCUGGGAAACCGGGUCUAAUACCGGAUAUGACUCCAUGACGCAUGUUGUGGGGUGGAAAGCCUUGUGCGGCUGAGGAUGGGCCCGCGGCCUAUCAGCUUGUUGGUGGGGUGAUGGCCUACCAAGGCGACGACGGGUAGCCGGCCUGAGAGGGCGACCGGCCACACUGGGACUGAGGCACGGCCCAGACUCCUACGGGAGGCAGCAGUGGGGAA